AGAGUUUGAUCAUGGCUCAGGACGAACGCUGGCGGCGUGCUUAACACAUGCAAGUCGAACGAGACGAUUGAAAGCUUGCUUUUGAAAGUCGAGUGGCAAACGGGUGAGUAACGCGUAGACAACCUGCCGUAAAGAUGGGGACAACAGUCCGAAAGGACUGCUAAUACCGAAUGUUGUAAAUCUUCCACAUGGAAGACUUACUAAAGGUGGCCUCUACUUGUAAGCUAUCGCUUUACGAUGGGUCUGCGUCUGAUUAGCUGGUUGGUGGGGUAACGGCCUACCAAGGCGACGAUCAGUAGCCGGUCUGAGAGGAUGAACGGCCACAUUGGAACUGAGACACGGUCCAGACUCCUACGGGAGGCAGCAGUGGGGAAUCUUCCGCAAUGGGCGCAAGCCUGACGGAGCAACGCCGCGUGAGUGAAGAAGGGUUUCGACUCGUAAAGCUCUGUUGUCGGGGACGAACGUGGAGACGGCGAAUAGCCGUUUCCAAUGACGGUACCUGACGAGGAAGCCACGGCUAACUACGUGCCAGCAGCCGCGGUAAUACGUAGGUGGCGAGCGUUGUCCGGAAUUAUUGGGCGUAAAGGGAGCGCAGGCGGGAAGGUAAGUCUAUCUUAAAAGUGCGGGGCUCAACCCCGUGAGGGGAUGGAAACUAUCUUUCUUGAGUGCAGGAGAGGAAAGCGGAAUUCCUAGUGUAGCGGUGAAAUGCGUAGAUAUUAGGAGGAACACCAGUGGCGAAGGCGGCUUUCUGGACUGUAACUGACGCUGAAGCUCGAAAGUGCGGGUAUCGAACAGGAUUAGAUACCCUGGUAGUCCGCACGGUAAACGAUGGAUGCCCGCUGUUGGUCUGAACAGGUCAGCGGCCAAGCGAAAGCAUUAAGCAUCCCACCUGGGGAGUACGCCGGCAACGGUGAAACUCAAAGGAAUUGACGGGGGCCCGCACAAGCGGAGGAACAUGUGGUUUAAUUCGAUGAUACACGAGGAACCUUACCCGGGCUUGAAUUGCAGAGGAAGGAUUUGGAGACAAUGACGCCCUUCGGGGUCUCUGUGAAGGUGCUGCAUGGUUGUCGUCAGCUCGUGCCGUGAGGUGUCGGCUUAAGUGCCAUAACGAGCGCAACCCCUCUCCUUAGUUGCCAUCAGGUUAAGCUGGGCACUCUGGGGACACUGCCACCGUAAGGUGUGAGGAAGGUGGGGAUGACGUCAAAUCAGCACGGCCCUUACGUCCGGGGCUACACACGUGUUACAAUGGCAGGUACAGAGAGACGGUUGUACGUAAGUACGAUCAAAUCCUUAAAGCCUGUCUCAGUUCGGACUGGGGUCUGCAACCCGACCCCACGAAGCUGGAUUCGCUAGUAAUCGCGCAUCAGCCAUGGCGCGGUGAAUACGUUCCCGGGCCUUGUACACACCGCCCGUCAAGCCAUGAAAGCCGGGGGCGCCUAAAGUCCGUGACCGUAAGGAGCGGCCUAGGGCGAAACUGGUAAUUGGGGCUAAGUCGUAACAAGGUA
rnacentral:rRNA from 1 species